AACGAACGCUGGCGGCAUGCCUAACACAUGCAAGUCGAACGAGACCUUCGGGUCUAGUGGCGCACGGGUGCGUAACGCGUGGGAACCUGCCCUUAGGUUCGGAAUAACUCCCCGAAAGGGGUGCUAAUACCGGAUAAUGUCUUCGGACCAAAGACUUAUCGCCUUUGGAUGGGCCCGCGUUGGAUUAGCUAGUUGGUAGGGUAAAAGCCUACCAAGGCGACGAUCCAUAGCUGGUCUGAGAGGAUGAUCAGCCACACUGGGACUGAGACACGGCCCAGACUCCUAUGGGAGGCAGCAGUGGGGAAUAUUGGACAAUGGGCGAAAGCCUGAUCCAGCAAUGCCGCGUGAGUGAUGAAGGCCUUAGGGUUGUAAAGCUCUUUUACCCGGGAUGAUAAUGACAGUACCGGGAGAAUAAGCUCCGGCUAACUCCGUG
rnacentral:rRNA from 1 species